UCCUACGCUGCUCUCUCACUCC
rnacentral:miRNA from 1 species